CCCGAGUUCAGGGAGUUUCAGAGUUUUAUACCCAGCAUGUAAGGAGAGGGGCUCAGAAGUUCAUAGUCUGCAGAAGUUCACAUAAAAACAGCUUUUUCUUUCACUGUUCUGGGCAAGUUAACUCUUCAAGGACAGCACCUGAGAAAAGGGAGAGCUGCUUUUCCCCUUUCUUGCCUCUCCCCACCAGCUAUUACCAUGAAGCCCGGUUGGAAACUUAUCUUAAAAAUGUAGACAUCUCUGUGAAGCCCAGCUCAAGGCCAGAGGCCUUGCUUGCACAUUUCUAUAAACUACUAUACUAGAUAUAUGUCUGUGAGAAACUAGUAAGGGGGUGUCCAACACCUGGAGUGCUGGUAUCUUCCUGGCCAGUGGCCAAGUAAAACAGGGCGACAUGAAAAUAGGAAGUUUAUCUACAUUGAACUCUUUUGCAGAGACUCUUUCGCUGACAGUCCUAAAAUCAGCCAUGGAGAAGAUUUCUGGAGAGGCCCAGUUAAGACUUUUGUGGAGGAGGGGGUGCCACUACAGUAGGGAGAAGCAAUGAACAAAGCAAGUAAGCAAACAAAUACUUAGUAUGUGGUAGUAUGUUCUAUGGAGAAAAUGAAAAAAAGGAAGAGGAGAAAAAGGAUGAUUUUCUUUUGUUUGCUUUUGAAUGAGACAAGAAAAGCUCUCACUGAGAAGCUAACCUGUAAGAAAAGAUGUGAAAGAAGGAGAAACUGAAGAUCUGGAGGUAGAACAUUCCAGAUGGUGGGCACAGCACACAUGAAGGCCCUGAGGCAGGAGAGGGCUUAGCAUGUUCUGGGAAAACAAGUGGCCUGGGUAGCUGGAGAGAUGUAAUGAAGGGGGACAGCUAGUAUAAGGCUUAGUUAAAGGGGUCAGAGGUCCUUGAAAGGACACCACAGCCUGCAGGGAUAUCAAAGAAAGGAUACCUUCUUCUAAACGACCUCUCCUUUAACAAAUAGGAAAAUCCCUCCCAGCAGUCCCGCCCACCUAGAAUGUGUCCUUGUACUUCACUGGCCAAAACCGGGUCACAUGACUGCCUCAGCCAAUCACGGGCUUGAAUCAUUCCCAAGGUCUGGGCCCACUUUCCUGGUACCAGGACCUCCCCCUUGACUUCAGGGGCAGAGCCUGGCUCCAGACACCUGGCUGCUCUAGUGUGUUAUUAACCCCUGGGGCAGGACUGGGGGAAGCAAGGGCCUCUGUCUAUCUGAGAGUGAGCUGUCAAGGAGGCCCCUUUGCCUUUUGAUAGAAUCUCAGUUGUCUGGUCCACAAAAAAGAAAAAAAAAAAAAACUUAUCCAAGUAAAAAAAAGAAAAUCAUACAGAGCUUUAAACUAUGGAAAUGUCUAAGCAUAUUAAAAAUAGAGCCAUGGGAUCACCCCCAUGUUCCCAUCUACCAGCUUCAGCCCCAUCAAUAGGGGCCCAAGGGGCCAACCCAGUGUCCUCCAAGCACCUCCCCUCCCCCACCCCUGCCCUACCAGCCUCCACUAGGUUGAAAGGCACUAACAGGGCCACAAAUGCUUUUGAAGUCCUGCAGGGCUCUGAAGUCCUAGCUGGGAAAGAGGCCUAAGAGCCAUGAAAGUGACCCCACCCCACCCAGUGCUUUGGUAAGCCCAGAGCAGCCCUGGUCCCUGCGGUCACUCUUCUACAACCAGCUGAAGGACACCGAGGCCUCUCCUGAAUCAUCCUUGCGUCAGCUCUCAGAAGCGACGGAUGUUCACAGCAUCAUCUCUAAUUGGGGCACUUGGCCCAUUAGGAAUUUGGAUGGACCAAAGCUUUAAGUCCUCGCACUGCUCUGGCAAAGUAAACAGCAGCAAUGUGAGAUUCGACUUCUGCGCAGUUAAUUUAAACUCCACUCUGAAUAUCAAGCAGAUACUUCAGUUCCAAUCCACUCGGUCCCAUCCCAAGCCCUGUGCUGAAUGAUAAACACCCGGCCACUGCCAGGAAGGGAUAACUCCUGACAGGCAAGACCAACUGCUUCCUUCAGCCCCGGGGAGGCUCCUGGACAAGCGAAGGACACGGGUGUCUUUGAAAAGUUUGCUCAGCCACAUUCGGAAACAGCUUCCUCGGGGUGGAGGGGUCUGCCUACAGGGCCUGGAGAUCUAACCUGUCUUAGAUUUCUGAGGAGCUGGCAGUGCCUCUGGGUGGAAGGAAAAACCAACCCGUGAGUCCCCAUAGAAGUUUCUGGGUCACAGCAUCAGGAUAAGCCUCCUCUUGAAGGGCAAGAAUCUUGGUUCAAGGGCUGCAAUCAGCAGGUACAGGGGAACCUGUCUGGCACCGGCUGCCUGGGGAGGGUUCUCCUCCAUACCAAAGGUGAUCAACUGAGCUGAUGGGAUGCAGGAGCCUGUGAAAUUGCAGAGGGCCGUCCUCUCACCUGCUGGAGGAGUGUGGGGGCCACAGUCGGGGGUUUGUCCCCGGGGGCCUUUUUAAAAAAACGUUUAAUAGAGGGAGAUGUUAGCUGUCCUGAUUUGAUCAUCACACUCUGUAUACAUACAGGUAAUAAACCCUCACACUGUACCGCAUACAUUUGUACCAUUAAAAUAAUUUUAAAAAAUUAUGAAAAAGUUGUUUUACCAAAAGGAAAUGGCUUUUAUUUGUUCCCUUGGGUUGUCCUCGAUUGUCUCCAAGCCUGGAUUCUUGUCUCCCCAGCCAGAUGACAAAUUCCUUGGGCAGGGGAACAGCACCAUUAGUUUUUCUGGGCUUAACAUUCCAGAGGGCACAGAGCCGGCAGGUGUGGAUGCACGGGAAGCUUCAGGGAUGAUGCCUGGAUAUUGAUCAGUGACCAUGACCACUACGUCCUGGGUGGUCCUCGAGGAUGAUGGCAGAGACGUGAGGAGGGCAUGCUUGUGGCCACCUGCUUGGUGCCUGCCUCCUUUGCUGGACUAGAAGCUUCCUGACUCCUGGGGCUCUGUCUGAUGCACCCCAGCCUUGAUGACGGAUCAGUGCUGGUUGAUGGACAGCAGGGGCAGUUAGGAGGCCAAAGGUGAAGGAGUCCUGACUCUGUCCUAAGCACUUAAGGAGACGCUGCUUUCAGAUUAUCUACAGAUAGUGGUUAUAUGAUCUAUCACCCAAACUGGGACACUUCUAAGACCAAAGGGGACACUAUUUUUAUUUUUUUGAGGCUUAAAACACCAUUGUUUUAUUUACAUUGGCAAGGUUUGUAAGAACAAAUAUUAAAAUCAAAGGCCAAUUUUUAGGUCUUAUUUAGUUGUUUGUUUCAUUCACUUGUAUUAAGUAUACCUUUCCCUAAUGUCCUGACUUUAUCAAGAAACAAAUCGGUGAAAAAACC
rnacentral:lncRNA from 1 species